AAGACACUAGUAAAAAGACAUUACAUCUCCUUGUCAAGGAAAAAUUGCGGGUUGAAUCCCCGCGUGCCUUA
rnacentral:tRNA from 1 species